AUUUAACAUGGAAAUUUGAUAAAAUUUCCAGAGAAUUUUUUCCAAAUAAGAUUGGAAGAUCUUCACGAGUUUGUAGACCCCGCCUUUGCAAUGCAUUCGAAUAGGUGAUAAACUCACAAGGCCGGACCGGGCGACGAUCGUCGUUGAAACGAAAGCGAAACUUACAGCGCCGACCAGAUGGGCCCCGUUUCCUCUAUGGAAGUAGAAAGAGAAUCGAAAGGCAAAAACAAACGCACGAUCAAACAUUAAAGCCACCGAUUGAAUCGAUUUUGCGAAGCGUUGGGUUCUCCCAAACAGUCGCCGACGCAAACACGCUGCCAGUGAUGAUUGGGUGCCGGAUUGGGAUCUCGAGUGCGCUAUUAGCCCUCAUUAGAC